AACGGUUGCUGGUGGAUGACUUGGUUGGCUAGCCGAUGAAGGACGUGGCAAGCAGCGAUAUGCUGCGGGUAGGCGCACGA
rnacentral:rRNA from 1 species